GACCGACCUUGACCUUAUGCGAAGGGUUCGAGUGCGAGCACACCUGUUGGGACCCNNAAGAUGGUGAACUAUGCCUGAGCAGGGCGAAGCCAGAGGAAACUCUGGUGGAGGCUCGUAGCGAUACUGACGUGCAAAUCGUUCGUCUGACUUGGGUAUAGGGGCGAAAGACUAAUCGAACCAUCUAGUAGGNAACGUUAGGAAAUCCGGAGACGUCGUCGGGGGCCCCGGGAAGAGUUAUCUUUUCUUUUUAACAGCUUGCCCACCCUGGAAUCGGUUCASSCGGAGRUAGGGUCCAGCAGCUGGAAGAGGACACGUCUUGCGGUNUCCGGUGCCCUCGGCGGCCCUUGAAAAUCUGGAGGACGGAAAAGGAUUGGCUCUGAGGGCUGGGCCUAGGGGUCUNGCGCCCUGAACUCGUGGACUGUCGGCAGUCUGCCCGAGCUGUCUCGCGUGCCGAUUGGGCUACGGCUCGGGGGNUUUUCCCUAGGNGUCGAACAGUCGACUCAGAACUGGUACGGACAAGGGGRAUCCGACUGUUUAAUUAAAACAAAGCAUUGCGAUGGU
rnacentral:rRNA from 1 species